rnacentral:miRNA from 1 species
GGCUCCCCAGCGCUGCCUCUCU